AGAACGAACGCUGGCGGCAUGCCUAACACAUGCAAGUCGAACGUGAUCCAGGCUUCGGCCUGGUGAAAGUGGCAGACGGGUGAGUAACGCGUGGGAACCUGCCCUGUGGUAGGGAAUAACCGUGGGAAACUGCGGCUAAUACCCUAUGAGUCCUUCGGGAGAAAGAUUUAUCGCCAUAGGAGGGGCCCGCGUCGGAUUAGGUAGUUGGUGGGGUAACGGCCUACCAAGCCUUCGAUCCGUAGCUGGUCUGAGAGGAUGAUCAGCCACACUGGGACUGAGAUACGGCCCAGACUCCUACGGGAGGCAGCAGUGGGGAAUAUUGGACAAUGGGGGCAACCCUGAUCCAGCAAUGCCGCGUGGAUGAUGAAGGCCUUCGGGUUGUAAAGUCCUUUCGGCGGGGAAGAUGAUGACGGUACCCGCAGAAGAAGCCCCGGCUAACUUCGCGCCAGCAGCCGC
rnacentral:rRNA from 1 species